AAGUCGUAACAAGGUCUCCGUUGGUGAACCAGCGGAGGGAUCAUUACAGAGUACUAUAACUCAUAACCCUUUGUGAACCUUUAUACCUGUUGCUUCGGCGGCGCCCCGAAGGGGGUGCCCGCCGGUCUCUGGAAUCUCUGUUUUCGAACCCGACGAUACUUCUGAGUGUUCUUAGCGAACUGUCAAAACUUUCAACAACGGAUCUCUUGGCUCCA
rnacentral:misc_RNA from 1 species